rnacentral:rRNA from 1 species
UGAGGAAUAUUGGUCAAUGGGCGUUAGCCUGAACCAGCCAAGUAGCGUGAAGGAUGAAGGCUCUAUGGGUCGUAAACUUCUUUUAUAUAAGAAUAAAGUGCAGUAUGUAUACUGUUUUGUAUGUAUUAUAUGAAUAAGGAUCGGCUAACUCCGUGCCAGCAGCCGCGGUAAUACGGAGGAUCCGAGCGUUAUCCGGAUUUAUUGGGUUUAAAGGGAGCGUAGGUGGACUGGUAAGUCAGUUGUGAAAGUUUGCGGCUCAACCGUAAAAUUGCAGUUGAUACUGUCAGUCUUGAGUACAGUAGAGGUGGGCGGAAUUCGUGGUGUAGCGGUGAAAUGCUUAGAUAUCACGAAGAACUCCGAUUGCGAAGGCAGCUCACUGGACUGCAACUGACACUGAUGCUCGAAAGUGUGGGUAUCAAACAGGA